AGUCCUUUAAUUAAAAAAGUUUGGCGGUACUUAAGUCUUAUUAGAGGAAUUUGUGGUUUAAUCGAUAAUCCCCGACCAUCUUUCCUUAGUUUGUAUAUCAGUUUAUAUACCGUCGUCUUCAGAUUUCAUUCUUAGAUGCUUUCUAAAAAAAUUUUUUAAGUCAGAUCAAGGUGUAGUUUAUACUAAGGUUACCAUGAAUUACAAUAAAUGUAAUUACGAAUAUUGAUUUGCAAUAAUUAGUGGAAGUUGGAUUUAAUUGUAAAUUUUAUUUAUUAUAUAAAUUUGAAUAAGUUUUUAUGUAUGU
rnacentral:rRNA from 1 species